CAGGACUGCUUCUCUGCCAUGACAAAUUCUGUAUUUUGGCAGCAGGCCGUCACUUCGAAGAAAUCAGCUUUACACCUUUGUCUGGAGCCAUGUUCAGCCCUGGCACAGACCUGCACCAGUCCCUUUCCUUUGCUGGAUGCUCCCAUUUCCACAAUAGCACACUUAGACCUGUUUGGAUCACUAACAAGCUCCUUACUUUCAUCUCCAAAAUAAAAGUUUGUCCUGCUGUUCCAUCUAACCUUCCCAAGCUUCAGUUUGUGGUCAGUGCUACUUGUAAGGUUGUCCAGCGCUGCUGAGAAGAGUUUGAUGCAACCGCCUUUCAAGAGGAAGGAAAAAUGGGAUAAGAAAAGUGUUAGUAGUUUCCUGGAAAGUAAAGUGCUUGCUCUAGAAAUGUGUAUGGGAACUGUUGAGUUUUGACUGCAAAAUGUCGAGCAAUGCAAAAUUGAUUACAGCCUGUGAAAAUUAGGCUACUGAAGGUUUAAUACCCUUCCACGGUCCUGAUAUUGACUUUGCUUUCUAGCCUCAGACUGAGAAGACUUUGUUGUCACAGGAGUUCUUCGGUACAGUUGCUAGUCAUUUGUAGCAUGAACAGAAAAGCAUUUAACGUCUCUUUUAAUUCCUCAAGUUGUUUUUCUUACCUGCCAUAACCUGAAGGCACUGGGGAUUUGUCGUUUGUGUGGGAACUUGCUCUUGAUCUUUGGUGUUGUUUUUCUUCUUCUUCCUCUCCUCCUCCCCCUCCAUUUUUCUGCUAGAGCAAAAAAGACACAUACUUUGUAGUCUUGCACAAAGAAGAAGAAGCUGGCCUGGGAUUCAGUGUUGCUGGACGAACAGAUCCAGAACAGAAAUCAGUCACAGUCCAUGGAGUGUUUUCAAAGGGAGUGGCAUCUCAAGAAGGAACUAUUCAUCAAGGAGAUCUUGUUCUGUCAACCAAUGGCAUCUCUUGCAAGCUCAGUCCAUGGGAAUGUGCUGAAUACUCUUCAUCAGGCAAGACUAUACAAAUAUGCAGUCAUUGUCAUCCAGAAGGAAAAAGAGAAAGUAAACAACUUCUCCAGACUUGAGAUAUCAGCUACUGGCGAAAAAUAUGUGGGGUCUGGAAAGGAUGUUUCCGCGGCAAUAGGAAGAGGUGGUGCUGCAGAGCAAUCUGGAAACAGAGAAACUGGAGAUGAAAUUCUUGCUGUUAGUGGAAAAUCAUUACUUGGCCUCGUGCAUUAUGAUGCCUGGAACAUUAUUAAAUAUGUACCAGAAGGCCCUGUUCAGUUACUAAUCAGAAAAUGCAGAACUUCAAUGUGAUGGAAGCAUCACAUCUAAUGACACUUGCUAAGACAAGUAUCUGCAGAAGGAGUAUAACUUGUUGGUUGCCAUCCUGUUGACAAGGAUGGCUAUUUAGACUAUACUGUAUCACCUAGCUGUAAUAAGACUUCGGAACACUUACUAGGGUCUGAUCCUUUUUCAUUGUCUGGAACAAUCUCACUUUAUUCUUCUAAGUGCAGUUUUAUUAAAAAUGCAUGACAAAAGAGUAUAAUUUUGCACAAUUUUAAUGCCUAAAACAUUCAUAAUUUAUUUCAAAGCUG